rnacentral:lncRNA from 1 species
GCGACUCACGGGGUGGAGCUGAGCGCCAUGAUGUGCGGGGAGGUACCGCCCCACACAGACCUCGCUAGGGAACGGAGCUCAGCCGCUUAAAGUGAGCUGAAUUCCCAGCCCAAAUUCAGCUUGCAGAAAUAAAUGUUCGCCUGGAAACCGCUUGAAAGUUUUCAAGAGCUUUGUUCAACCAUCAGCCUGAAAGCUGGAGGAAGCUACGUAGUAGAAGGGUAUGCAGCCUUCUGAGCAAAGCAGUCCUCACCCCAGGGUUAGUCAGCUAAAGAGGUGAGAUAGAAGGAAGAAAUUAUUCCUAGAAAGAGUGGCGAAGCACUGGCACAGGCUGCCCAGGGAGGUGGUGGAGUCACUGUCCCUGGAGGUGCUCGAGAACUGUGUGUGCAUCCCUGAGGGAUGCAGUCAGUGGGCAGGGGCUGGUGGUUGGACUACAUGAUCUUACAAGUCCUUUCCCACUUCAAUGAUUCUAUAUGCUAAUCCAGUCCUUCAUUUACCUAUUUUCCUGAAAGCUUCCAUAAAUGUUUCUUCUCCAGACAAAAGAAACAAGACAAAAUAGAAAACAAAUUUUAUUGAAUGAACAGAAGUCCAAAAGUCUCCCUCCCAUUUUUGGUUAACAACAGCAUCAACCUACAAAAACCCUGCAUUACAUGACAAAUUGUUUUAUGUAAAAAAAAAAAAUCCUUGAGCAGGUGUGAACAUUCGCACACAAAGUUACAACUGUCGAGAUGCAUUUGGGCAAACAACUGAAUAAACCAGAAAGAAAAAAAAAAAAGACUGCACAUGGACACCUGAAAAGACUUGGAUUGUUUGCUGGCAUAGAGGUAUAUCAUAAGGGCUGCCAGCAGUUGUCGGCACUUGCAUCACCUUCAUACAAAAUCAAGAGAGCAGCACAAAAACAACAGGAGUUUUGAGACUGAACAAGGAAAAGAAUUGCCAGCAGAACACACUGUUCAGCCAGCUCAUUGGGCUCAGGUUAAAUGCAGCUUUAUAAAAAUGAUUUUCACGAGCCUGUGUUAUGCAGUCACUGCUCACCAGAGCUCACAGGAUAGAAAAUCUGCUACCAUAUCCACAGAGCAAAAGCAGUAAAUGUCCAUCUUCAAACCUUCCUUGCCACCAGCAAUUCUUCUCAGUUUAAAACAGGUAUCUAGCUAUGGGAAAAAUAACUGGGAUCUACCUACAAAACAGGAUUAUCUGACUCACAGAAUUCUACUGACAACUAGAUUGAGAAUAUACAUUCAUUUUGUUAAUCUGACAAGGUUUUCUAACCUAUUCAAUUUCUUUCUUCUCACUGGAUAUCAGCAGCCUUAACAAAAUGGAGUGCUAAAAAGGAAGGCAAAUGUUUACUUUUAUCCUUACACCAUAUGCAGUAUAACCCUUUUUAUAAAGUCAUAUAAUACAUUUUCAUGCUUCUGAAUAUCAAGUAUUUUCAAUGAAAUCUGUUUAUUACAUUGGCUAAUUUCAAUCUGCUCUUUUAUUCUCACAGAUCAGGAUAUAGUAUAGUAACUUCAAAAUAAGUGAUUGAUUUAGCUGUCAUAUCUGCUUUUGAUUACAAAAGUACAAUAAUCUGUGCUUAUCUGUCAGUUCAUGUAUCAGAUGUGAUCCACUGCAACCAUAUAAUUCAUAAUUGAUUUAAGGAUUACAAAGCUGUAUCUUAUGCCAUAUUUUCUAUUCACAUGUAUCCUAGGACUAAUAAACCCCUAUUCUGUGUUGAUUAAAACUAACUUUGAUAUAUAAACUCUAUUACCUAAAGUUAAUUCUAAUCAUCUCCAUCAUAAUCAUUAUAGCUCUGAUACCCGCUGUUCCUCCUCUCACGAAGACUAGACUUUUUCCAUGUAGAUUCUUGAUGGAAACCAGCACUGAAAGAUCGACCCAGUCGUCCAUGUUGUUUUUUAGAGAUAUUGUCUUCACUCUCAGAUUUGGCAAUACCUUGUCCUUGUGUUUGGGAUUGUUUAUCCUGUCUGACACUUCCAAAUGGAAUAUUCCAAGGACCAAAUCUUUGCCAGUUAAGUCUCUGAAAGGCGAUGAUGCAAUGAAGAUUUCCUCCAACCUUCUUUGUUUUCCGAUGCUGCAGUCCUCUCUCUAGGUGUCGAAUAUCUAGGUACUCUGGAUUUUGGGUGUUUAGGUCAGUGACAAUAUCUGUCCACCUUUUACAGUGUAUCGUUGGAUGUUUUCUGCUCGGCUCUCCAAUUAAGAUCCAGUAUUCUACUUCUUGCUGCAAAACACGACCUCUAUACGCUUUACUAGCUUUUACUGGAGUUGCUUCAAAUCCAAUUGGGCAAAAAUAAUGGUUUUGGCAAUGGUAGA